GACGAACCGUGCGAACGUUGUUCGGAAUCACUGGGCUUAAAGGGCGCGUAGGCGGGCCGCCGCGUCCGGGGUGAAAUCCCCCCGCUCAACGGGGGGACGGCCUCGGAUACGGGCGGCCUGGAGGCGGGUAGGGGCACGCGGAACUGUGGGUGGAGCGGUGAAAUGCGUAGAUAUCAGGAGGAACACCUGUGGUGUAGACAGCUUACUGGACCAUUUCUGACGCUGAGACACGAAAGCGUGGGUAGCAAACAGG
rnacentral:rRNA from 1 species